rnacentral:rRNA from 1 species
AACGCUGGCGGCGUGCUUCAGGCAUGCAAGUCGAACGGACCUUCGGGUCAGUGGCGGACGGGUGAGUAACACGUAAGCAACCUGCCCAAAAGUGGGGAAUAACCCACCGAAAGGUGAGCUAAUACCGCAUGUGAUGGGUCUUCUCUGGAGGAUUCAUUAAAGGCUUCGGUCACUUUUGGAGGGGCUUGCGCUCGAUUAGCUAGUUGGUGGGGUAACGGCCUACCAAGGCAACGAUCGAUAGCUGGUCUGAGAGGACGAUCAGCCACACGGGGACUGAGAUACGGCCCCGACUCCUACGGGAGGCAGCAGCUAGGAAUCUUGGGAAUGGGCGAAAGCCUGACCCAGCAACGCCGCGUGGGCGAUGAAGGCCUUAGGGUCGUAAAGCCCUUUUGCGAGGGACGAUGAUGACGGUACCUCGCGAAUAAGCCAUGGCUAACUACGUGCCAGCAGCCGCGGUAAUACGUAGGUGGCGAGCGUUGUCCGGAUUUACUGGGCGUAAAGGGCGCGCAGGCGGUUUGUUUAGUCUAGGGUGAAAGCUCCCGGCUCAACUGGGAGAGGUCCUUGGAUACUGGCAGACUUGAGGGAGGUAGAGGAAAGUGGAAUUCCCGGUGUAGUGGUGAUAUGCGUAGAUAUCGGGAGGAACACCAGUGGCGAAGGCGGCUUUCUGGGCCUUUCCUGACGCUGAGACGCGAAAGCGUGGGGAGCGAACCGGAUUAGAUACCCGGGUAGUCCACGCUGUAAACGAUGAACACUAGGUGUGGGGGGUAUCGACCCCCUCCGUGCCACAGCUAACGCAAUAAGUGUUCCGCCUGGGGAGUACGGCCGCAAGGCUAAAACUCAAAGGAAUUGACGGGGGCCCGCACAAGCAGCGGAGCGUGCGGUUUAAUUCGUCGCAACGCGAAGAACCUUACCAAGGCUUGACAUGCUAGUGGUACCGAUCCGAAAGGUGAGGGACCCUUCGGGGAGCUAGCACAGGUGCUGCAUGGCUGUCGUCAGCUCGUGCCGUGAGGUGUUGGGUUAAGUCCCGCAACGAGCGCAACCCUUAUCCUAUGUUGCCAGCACGUUAUGGUGGGGACUCAUAGGAGACUGCCGGGGAUAACUCGGAGGAAGGUGAGGACGACGUCAAGUCAUCAUGCCCCUUAUAUCCAGGGCUGCACGCAUGCUACAAUGGUCGGUACAACGGGCAGCGAUCUCGUGAGAGUGAGCGAAUCCCUUAAAGCCGGCCCCAGUUCGGAUUGAAGUCUGCAACUCGACUUCAUGAAGCCGGAGUCGCUAGUAAUCGCGGAUCAGCUAAGCCGCGGUGAAUACGUUCUCGGGGAUUGUACACACCGCCCGUCAAGUCACGGAAAUCGGCAAUACCCAAAGUCAGUGGCCUAACCCUUCGGGGAGGGAGCUGCCUAAGGUGGGGUCGGUAACUGGGACUAAGUCGUAACAAGGUAGC